rnacentral:pre_miRNA from 1 species
AACGUUUGACCGUUCGUUUUAUUUGAAAUUUUUUUAUGAUUAGUAUUUUUAUUGUUAUUAGUAGAUGAUAAAACAUGAAAAAAAAUAUUUUUUGUGUCACUAUUUUUUUUAUUUUUUUAUAAACUUUUCAAAUAAGACGGACGGUCAAAUGUU